AGUGAACGCUGGCGGUAGGCCUAACACAUGCAAGUCGAACGGCAGCACAGUAAGAGCUUGCUCUUACGGGUGGCGAGUGGCGGACGGGUGAGGAAUACAUCGGAAUCUACUUUUUCGUGGGGGAUAACGUAGGGAAACUUACGCUAAUACCGCAUACGACCUACGGGUGAAAGCAGGGGAUCUUCGGACCUUGCGCGAUUGAAUGAGCCGAUGUCGGAUUAGCUAGUUGGCGGGGUAAAGGCCCACCAAGGCGACGAUCCGUAGCUGGUCUGAGAGGAUGAUCAGCCACACUGGAACUGAGACACGGUCCAGACUCCUACGGGAGGCAGCAGUGGGGAAUAUUGGACAAUGGGCGCAAGCCUGAUCCAGCCAUACCGCGUGGGUGAAGAAGGCCUUCGGGUUGUAAAGCCCUUUUGUCGGGAAAGAAAAGCGGCAGGUUAAUACCCCGCUGUUCUGACGGUACCCAAAGAAUAAGCACCGGCUAACUUCGUG
rnacentral:rRNA from 1 species